CAUGCAGGCGGUCGGACGCGUUUUGUGUGACAGCGCAUGGCUUAACUAAGCGAGCAUACGAAAGACGGUUUGACUUGAGGGCUCGAGAGGGACACGGAAUUCCGGGUGGAGUGGUGAAAUGCGUAGAGAUCCGGAGGAACACCGAAGGCGAAGGCAGUGUCCUGGCGAGCGACUGACGCUGAGGUGCGAAAGCCAGGGGAGCGAACGGGAUUAGAUACCCCGGUAGUCCUGGCCGUAAACGAUGACCACCAGGUGUGGGAGGUAUCGACCCCUUCCGUGCCGGAGGCAACCCACUGAGUGGUCCGCCUGGGGAGUACGGUCGCAAGAUUAAA
rnacentral:rRNA from 1 species